AAAAAAGGAGGACAUUCUAGCAGCAAAAACGGGUGCCGUCAGACUGAUCCACCAGCCAGUUUGACUCGGUGAAAAGCAUCCACAGCCGGGGCGUCGUAGUAAAAUUCAGGCUGGAAUUACAGGUGGCCUUUGUAGCGAGUGGUCCACACGCGGGUAUGAUCAGUGUACGAUGGCUCAGAGGGAGGAACAGUACGGCACAGUUUACGAGAGAGCGCGUGGGAUACCCAUACUUUUGGCUUUAGGUGAAAAAUGAGAGGCUAAUAAUGGGGAUAUAAUUAAUGAGGAAGUGAAACGUUAUAUUCGAUUUGACAUUGUAUUCUACUGCGUCUUCUUCUGAUACUGUGCAUGUGCAGUGAUAAUCCAUAAUGGUAGACACCAGAGUUCCACUGCUCCUCAGUCCUCCCUUCCUUUUUGGCUUUGGCCCUUUUAUCUAUUUUUAUAUUUUUAGUUUCUAUAAUAGAGAAAGAAACAGCUUUGGGUCACAUCGUAGGGAGACUCAGUGAAUGCAGCUCCUCUGUAGUCUGUAAUGCCACUCGUUAGCCGUUACCCUUUAGAGAGAGACCUAGCCAGUGAGUCUACCAUGCCCAACUGCAACAGGGUCAGACCCUGAUCCUAUGAAUUAUUAUAUAGCUCCAUAGCCUCCAAAAUAUUUUGGACUUUAGGUAUUUGUAAAUAUGCCUAUAAGGUAUAAAUUAAAACAGAGUUGAGAGGGGAAAAUCAUAGAGUAAAGAGGCGGGGGCCCAGUCCCCCAGUAAGCUCAAAGGUAGAAGGGGGGAGAGAGGGUAGUGACAGGGACACGCUGUUUCUGGGACGGGACUUGACGACACCACUACUGUCCAAGACUCCAAGCUCAACCUCCGAGGUUUUGUAAUUGUCUUUUCGUUUUCUAUUUAUUAUCCAAUUCCUACAUUAAAUUCUCUCUCAUUACUACUAUUCUUUAUUGGAACAAAUUUUCGGAAGAUUCUAUGCUAUUUGGUAACGUCCAACCUUCAAUAAAUCCGAAAUUUUAAUAUAAUAAUUACGUUUAUAAAAUAACGUCAUCAAAUCAUAUUAUGUAUGUGACUCGAUUGAUCUCGCUUGUUUAAUAUCUAUAUCUAUGAUAACACAUUCCACACAUCUAUUGCAAAUCUUAUCAUGUGGUUUGGGUCAUUUCAACCCGUGUAUUGGAGUCUAUCAAAGAUAUGCAGGGAAAUUGUGAGAGAAGAUAAUAUUCCGAUAUAUACGCAUACCAUAUGUUGGCUAUUAGUUAAGCCACUUAAGCGUUUGGAGGGAUUCUGAAAGAUUUGGAUAUAAAUUUGGAGACUGCCCAGUGAUGCACCGGACGAGCCCACGCUUUUGUACGCC
rnacentral:lncRNA from 1 species